AGAGUUUGAUCCUGGCUCAGGACGAACGCUGGCGGCGUGCCUAACACAUGCAAGUCGAGCGAGGAAUGUCGGAUAGCUUGCUAUCUGGUAUUUCUAGCGGCGGACGGGUGAGUAACGCGUGAGCAACCUGCCUUUAUCAGGGGGAUAACGCAUCGAAAGAUGUGCUAAUACCGCGUAAGACCACAGCCUCACAUGGGGCAGGGGUCAAAGGAGCAAUCCGGAUAAAGAUGGGCUCGCGUCCGAUUAGCUAGUUGGUGAGAUAACAGCCCACCAAGGCGACGAUCGGUAGCCGACCUGAGAGGGUGAUCGGCCACAUUGGAACUGAGACACGGUCCAGACUCCUACGGGAGGCAGCAGUGGGGAAUAUUGGGCAAUGGGCGAAAGCCUGACCCAGCAACGCCGCGUGAGGGAAGAAGGGUUUCGGCUCGUAAACCUCUGUCCUAUGGGACGAAGGAAGUGACGGUACCAUAGGAGGAAGCCCCGGCUAACUACGUGCCAGCAGCCGCGGUAAUACGUAGGGGGCGAGCGUUGUCCGGAAUGAUUGGGCGUAAAGGGCGCGUAGGCGGCCUGCUAAGUCUGAAGUGAAAGUCCUGCUUUCAAGGUGGGAAGUGCUUUGGAUACUGGUGGGCUGGAGUGCAGGAGAGGAAAGCGGAAUUACCGGUGUAGCGGUGAAAUGCGUAGAGAUCGGGAGGAACACCAGUGGCGAAGGCGGCUUUCUGGACUGAAACUGACGCUGAGGCGCGAAAGCGUGGGGAGCAAACAGGAUUAGAUACCCUGGUAGUCCACGCGGUAAACGAUGAAUGCUAGGUGUAGGAGGUAUCGACCCCUUCUGUGCCGCAGUAAACACAAUAAGCAUUCCGCCUGGGGAGUACGGCCGCAAGGUUGAAACUCAAAGGAAUUGACGGGGGCCCGCACAAGCAGCGGAGCAUGUGGUUUAAUUCGAAGCAACGCGAAGAACCUUACCAGGGCUUGACAUAUGGGUGAAGCGGGGGAGACCCCGUGGCCGAGAGGAGCCCAUACAGGUGGUGCAUGGCUGUCGUCAGCUCGUGUCGUGAGAUGUUGGGUUAAGUCCCGCAACGAGCGCAACCCCCGCCGCGUGUUGCCAUCGGGUGAUGCCGGGAACCCACGCGGGACCGCCGCCGUCAAGGCGGAGGAGGGCGGGGACGACGUCAAGUCAUCAUGCCCCUUAUGCCCUGGGCUGCACACGUGCUACAAUGGCCGGUACAGAGGGAUGCCACCCCGCGAGGGGGAGCGGAUCCCGGAAAGCCGGCCCCAGUUCGGAUUGGGGGCUGCAACCCGCCCCCAUGAAGUCGGAGUUGCUAGUAAUCGCGGAUCAGCAUGCCGCGGUGAAUGCGUUCCCGGGCCUUGUACACACCGCCCGUCACACCACCCGAGUCGUCUGCACCCGAAGUCGCCGGCCCAACCGCGAGGGGGGAGGCGCCGAAGGUGUGGAGGGUGAGGGGGGUGAAGUCGUAACAAGGUAGCCGUACCGGAAGGUGCGGCUG
rnacentral:rRNA from 1 species